rnacentral:rRNA from 1 species
UCAGGCCUAACACAUGCAAGUCGAGCGGAAACGAGUUAACUGAACCUUCGGGGAACGUUAACGGCGUCGAGCGGCGGACGGGUGAGUAAUGCCUGGGAAAUUGCCCUGAUGUGGGGGAUAACCAUUGGAAACGAUGGCUAAUACCGCAUAAUAGCUUCGGCUCAAAGAGGGGGACCUUCGGGCCUCUCGCGUCAGGAUAUGCCCAGGUGGGAUUAGCUAGUUGGUGAGGUAAGGGCUCACCAAGGCGACGAUCCCUAGCUGGUCUGAGAGGAUGAUCAGCCACACUGGAACUGAGACACGGUCCAGACUCCUACGGGAGGCAGCAGUGGGGAAUAUUGCACAAUGGGCGCAAGCCUGAUGCAGCCAUGCCGCGUGUAUGAAGAAGGCCUUCGGGUUGUAAAGUACUUUCAGCAGUGAGGAAGGUGGUAGUGUUAAUAGCACUAUCAUUUGACGUUAGCUGCAGAAGAAGCACCGGCUAACUCCGUGCCAGCAGCCGCGGUAAUACGGAGGGUGCGAGCGUUAAUCGGAAUUACUGGGCGUAAAGCGCAUGCAGGUGGUUUGUUAAGUCAGAUGUGAAAGCCCGGGGUUCAACCUCGGAAUUGCAUUUGAAACUGGCAGACUAGAGUACUGUAGAGGGGGGUAGAAUUUCA